rnacentral:rRNA from 1 species
AACGAACGCUGGCGGCAUGCCUAACACAUGCAAGUCGAACGAGACCUUCGGGUCUAGUGGCGCACGGGUGCGUAACGCGUGGGAACCUGCCCUUAGGUUCGGAAUAACUCCCCGAAAGGGGUGCUAAUACCGGAUAAUGUCUUCGGACCAAAGAUUUAUCGCCUUUGGAUGGGCCCGCGUUGGAUUAGCUAGUUGGUAGGGUAAAAGCCUACCAAGGCGACGAUCCAUAGCGGGUCUGAGAGGAUGAUCAGCCACACUGGGACUGAGACACGGCCCAGACUCCUACGGGAGGCAGCAGUGGGGAAUAUUGGCCAAUGGGCGAAAGCCUGAUCCAGCAAUGCCGCGUGAGUGAUGAAGGCCUUAGGGUUGUAAAGCUCUUUUACCCGGGAUGAUAAUGACAGUACCGGGAGAAUAAGCUCCGGCUAACUCCGUG